GAUGAACGCUGGCGGCGUGCCUAAUACAUGCAAGUCGAGCGAACGGACGAGAAGCUUGCUUUUCUGAUGUUAGCGGCGGACGGGUGAGUAACACGUGGAUAACCUACCUAUAAGACUGGGAUAACUUCGGGAAACCGGAGCUAAUACCGGAUAAUAUUUUGAACCGCAUGGUUCAAAAGUGAAAGACGGUCUUGCUGUCACUUAUAGAUGGAUCCGCGCUGCAUUAGCUGGUUGGUAAGGUAACGGCUUACCAAGGCAACGAUGCAUAGCCGACCUGAGAGGUGGAUAGGCCAAAUGGGAACUGAGACAGGGUCCAGCCCCUUACGGGAGGCAGCAGGAGGGAAUCUUCCGCAAGGGGCGAAAGCCUGACGGAGCAACGCCGCGGGAGUGAUGAAGGUCUUCGGAUCGUAAAACGUUGUUAUUAGGGAAGAACAUAUGUGUAAGUAACUGUGCACAUCUGGACGGUACCAAAUCAGAAAGCCACGGCUAACUACGU
rnacentral:rRNA from 1 species